AUACGGAGGAUGCAAGCGUUAUCCGGAUUUAUUGGGUUUAAAGGGUGCGUAGGCGGAUGAUUAAGCGUGAGGUGAAAUGCCACUGCUCAACAGUGGAACUGCCUCGCGAACUGGUUGUCUUGAAUGCUCCUGCCGUGGGAGGAAUGUGUGGUGUAGCGGUGAAAUGCAUAGAGAUCACACAGAACACCGAUUGCGAAGGCAUCUCACGAAGGGGUGAUUGACGCUGAGGCACGAAAGCGUGGGGAUCAAACAGAAUUAGAUACCCUGGUAGUCCACGCAGUAAACGAUGAUAACUAACCGCUGGGUCGUAGUGAUUCAGUGGCCAAGCGAAAGCGAUAAGUUAUCCACCUGGGGAGUACGACCGCAAGGUUGAAACUCAAAGGAAUCGACGGGG
rnacentral:rRNA from 1 species